rnacentral:rRNA from 1 species
GAGUUUGAUCCUGGCUCAGGAUGAACGCUGGCGGCGUGCUUAACACAUGCAAGUCGAGCGAAGCGAUUUUGAGGAAGUUUUCGGAUGGAAUUAAGAUUGACUGAGCGGCGGACGGGUGAGUAACGCGUGGGUAACCUGCCUCAUACAGGGGGAUAACAGUUAGAAAUGACUGCUAAUACCGCAUAAGCGCACAGGACCGCAUGGUCCGGUGUGAAAAACUCCGGUGGUAUGAGAUGGACCCCGCGUCU